UAGAGUAUAGCUUAAAUAAAGCAAUUCGCUUACACCGAAAAAAUGUCUGCUAAUCCGGACUACUCUAAG
rnacentral:tRNA from 1 species